CAAUAGCGUAUAUUAAAGUUGUUGCAGUUAAAAAGCUCGUAGUUGGAUUUGUGGCGUAUGGUGGGUCCCGGGCACUUGUGUCUGAGUGACUUGCCGUUGCCAUCCUCGGGUGGAACCUGUGUGGCAUUAGGUUGUCGUGCAGGGGAUGCCCAUCGUUUACUGUGAAAAAUUAGAGUGUUCAAAGCAGGCUUAUGCCGUUGAAUAUAUUAGCAUGGAAUAAUGAGAUAGGACUUUUUCGCUAUUUUGUUGGUUUGCGCGAGAAGGUAAUGAUUAAUAGGGACAGUUGGGGGUAUUCGUAUUCCAUUGUCAGAGGUGAAAUUCUUGGAUUUCUGGAAGACGAACUACUGCGAAAGCAUUUACCAAGGAUGUUUUCAUUAAUCAAGAACGAAAGUUAGGGGAUCGAAGACGAUCAGAUACCGU
rnacentral:rRNA from 1 species